CGCAACUGUAUGCAAAUAGACACUUCUAGCACACACAGUUCUCUCACUCCAAGUAGUAUGACGGGUUCCUAUAAAUCAGAGAUCUCAAGCCAUGGUGUUGCAUAGGUUUCCGGCCAUUCUUUGCAAGUCCCAGCCCUUGCCAUUAUUGAAUCCUGCGAGGAGAUAUGGCUAUCAGUCUCUAAUUGCCCAUACAUGAUAUUUUAGAGGUUUUAGAUUAAUUGUUUGACUUUAC